UGGGGGAUAUUGCACAAUGGGCGAAAGCCUGAUGCAGCGACGCCGCGUGGGGGAUGAAGGCCUUCGGGUUGUAAACUUCUUUUGCUCUGAACAAGGCAUGCUAAUGGGUGUGUUGAGUGUAGGGGUUGAUUAGCGCCGGCUAACUACGUGCCAGCAGCCGCGGUAAUACGUAGGGCGGGAGCGUUGUCCGGAAUUAUUGGGCGUAAAGGGCUUGUAGGUGGCUGGUUGCGUCUGUCGUGAAAGCUCAUGGCUUAACUGUGGGUUUGCGUGGGGUACGGGCUGGCUUGAGUGCAGUAGGGGAGGCUGGAAUUCCUGGUGUAGCGGUGGAAUGCGCAGAUAUCAGGAGGAAUACCGGUGGCGAAGGCGGGUCUCUGGGCUGUUACUGACACUGAGGAGCGAAAGCAUGGGGAGCGAACAGG
rnacentral:rRNA from 1 species